UUUAAAGAUGAAUCAUUAGUCGCAUGGGUCUAUAAAAACAAGUUAACCUAAGCUAACAAUAUGGUUUGCAUCAUGAACAGACCAUUUUGGGCAGGAGCAGCAGGAAAUGCAUUGAUUAUCGAGGCAGAUGCCUUCAAAGAAUCAGAUGUCAUCUACAGAGCACUUAGCUCCAGAGGACAUGCUGACAUGAUCCAAACUGCUGAUUUGGUGAGAUAAUG
rnacentral:misc_RNA from 1 species